AUGGGGAAUGGGAUGAACAAGAUCCUGCCUGGCCUGAAUAUCGGCAACUUCAGAGAUGCCAGAGAAGAACAAGGUGACACACAUUCUGUCUGUGCACGAGAGUGCUAGGCCAACAUUGGAGGGGGUUAAAUACCUGUGCGUUCCAGGAGCGGAUUCACCAUCUCAAAACCUGACGACAUUUCAAAGAAAGUAUUAAAUUCAUCCACGAGUGCCGCCUGCGAGGUGAGGGCUGCCUUGUUCACUGCCUGGCCGGCGUCUUCAGGAGCGUGACUCUGGUGGUUGCAUACAUCAUGAUGGUCACCGACUUCGGCUGGGAAGAUGCCCUGUGCACUGUGCGUGCGGGGAGGUCCUGUGCAAACCCCAACCUGGGCUUCCAGAAGCAGCUCCAGGAGUUUGAGGAGCACCAGGUCCAUCAGUUCCGCCAGUGGCUGAAGGAGGAGUAUGGAGAGAGCCCUUUGCGGGAUGCGGAAGAAGCCAGAGGCAUUCUGGCCACCCCAGGGAUUCUGAAGUACUGGGCCUCUCUCAGAAGACUGUAAUGUACCUGAAAUAUUGCA